rnacentral:lncRNA from 1 species
CUACUAUGCUAUUAGAAGCACGGAGCCUUCCGUGCUUCCACCUCGUUUUCAAUGUUGUGACUUUCGAAUUGUCGAUCGGCUCCGCUAAACAUGAUCUAGAGUAUUUGAAGUACCUAGAAAAUAAAUUUUAUGAUUUUACGAUAUCAUUUGCCUAGUGAACGAAGGAGCUCAAAAUCAACGGCUGAAAAUAAAAAUCUUACAAAAUGUAAUAAUAUAACAUUAAAAUUUUAAAUCAAAGAUAUUGAUCUUGUUUUAUAUAGUAUAAAGAAUUUUCUAUCAAAAUUUUACGUGAUUUGGAUAUUUCUACACCGUUAANUAUAUAUAUAUACUGUUGGGCUAAUUCGGCGCGGACAGCUGGCAAGCCGGGACUAUAUCCGUGAUCCAGGUCAAAACGGUGGACCGGGAGAAUAUAAGACGCGCCAGAAGAUAUGAGCCGCAUCUGUUCAAAAAGUUGUAACAACCGCAAGCGGUUAUGAGCAGUUCCAAUCGGCCGAAGGUGGUCCUCCAAAUCUGGAGAUAGUGGCCGAUCGUGCAGUGACAAUAACUGAACGCAAGGGCAAUUUUAUAAAUAGAGAUACCGCACCCUGAAAAAGCGUCUUCGUCCCUGCGCACAAAAGACCACCUUUAUUUUCCUGCAUCUUUCUUUCCUGCAUUUACCGCUUUUUAUAGGAGUAGCUCUCGUAACUUAGCAUACUUGGAGUCUGUCUGCCCUACGGGCAUCACUCUCCUGUUCUUUUACUUGGAGUCUGUCUGCCCUACGGGCAUCACUCCCCUGUUCUUGUACGUCUAUUCAAUAGAAAGUCGUUUUU